UCUUCCCUCUUGAACCUGGAGCUCCAGCCCCCACAAGGUGGGGCAGUGGCAUAUAUACAGAACUUCAUUCUCCCAUCCUGGACUGCAUUGUGAAGACUGCAGAAGAGAUUGCAAGAUGAAAGCUUUGCUGUUUGCGUUGUUGUUGGUGGCAUUUGUGUGCAGGGACGCAGUAAAGAGUCUGAAAUGUUACGAGUCUGACCCAUUUAUGUUUGAUAGAAAAAAAAGAUGUUCGCAAACAGAUAGAUUCUGUUAUAUUCUGCAGCCUGUUCUUGGAGGGCCCCAGUCUAAAGGAUGUGCUCCAUUGUGCGUUCUAGAAGACGAGUUGCUGAAGAUUCAGUGUUGCACCUCUGACUUUUGCAAUGAUUAAAAUGUUGUUUGGGGUUUUGCUGUCAUCCAUCAUGGACCAUCCUGGCAGAUUUAAGCUUGUGGCCUUUACGGUUCAUAAUGCACCCCCUCGGCUUCUUUGGACACCUCAUCCUCUCUCCUUUUUCUCCUGGUCUACAAGACUUGUUCUGCUCUCCCUGUAGCUUGGCAACUGAAUAAAUUUGUGCAUUUACAUUCAAGCGUAGUGGAUGUGUUUGGUAUGACAUGUCCAUUUUCCUUUUUUGAAAGUUCAAUUGCGGAAUAGUAGAAGGCUGAAGGGUUUUUUGUAACCCAUCUUACUUAUGCAAAACCCUCUUCCUUCUCCAACGGGUGCAGGUCUGACUUAGAUGCCCAUCUCAGAUAAUUUGACUUUCAAGGUAUUUGGUAGUCUUUGCCAAGAAUGACAACUUACUUAUAAUUUAUCAUCAAUAGAAAUAUAACCUGCCUGCUUCUAAAUCUUCCCAGAGACACAGGAUACGAGACGGGCAGAAAAUAAACUUCAUAGUAAACAAACAAAUCAAUAAAAUUACUUUGAUUACUAAGCAGCCCAACAAUUAUUUUUUCCUUCUUUAAAAUAACUGUAUAUAGUUUGAGCUGCUGUAUAUCCCCAAUACACUAUUCAAAUUCGUUUAAGUUAUAACCAGAAGCCAACAUGGAUUUCUCCAAACAGAUCAUGCCAAACAUUUUCUUAUUUCUUUUUUUGAUAAAGUGACUAAAUUAAUGGAUCAGCGAAAUGCUGUGGAUAUAGUAUACUUGGAUUUCAGUGAAGUGUUUGACAAAAGAGAACACAACCUAUGUCUUGAUAAACUAAAAAGUGUGGGAUAAACAGCACUAUAUAGUGUCUGUGUUUCAGAAGUUUGUUGAUCAUAUAGAUUGUCUGGAUCAGCGUAUUGAGGUUGCUGUAGAAAGUUCUGAAAAAGUGGAAGAUCGAGUUGAUAAAACAGAAAAUAAGGUGGAAAUAAUUCAGGAUGAAAUUACUAUGUUACAAUACAGAAGUAUGGAGUUUGCUUUAA